GACAGAGGGGGCAAGCGUUGCUCGGAAUCACUGGGCGUAAAGGGCGCGUAGGCGGGAUGGCAAGUCGGUCGUGAAAUCCUUCGGCUCAACCGAAGAACGUCGGCCGAUACUGCCGUUCUUGAGGGAUGCAGAGGAGAUUGGAAUUCCCGGUGUAGCGGUGAAAUGUGUAGAGAUCGGGAAGAACGCCGGCGGCGAAAGCGACUCUCUGGUCGGACCCUGACGCUGAGGCGCGAAAGCUAGGGGAGCAAACGGG
rnacentral:rRNA from 1 species